ensembl:snRNA U6 U6 spliceosomal RNA
GUCCUAGUGUCAGCAGCAUAUACACUAAAUUGGAAUGAUACAGAAAAGAUUAUUAGCAUGGCCCCUGCACAAGCAUGACAUAUAAAUUCAUAAGAUGCUCCAUAUUUUU